rnacentral:misc_RNA from 1 species
UACAGAGGGGGCAAGCGUUGUUCGGAAUUACUGGGCGUAAAGGGCGCGUAGGCGGACUGUUAAGUCGAGCGUGAAAUCCCCGGGCUCAACCCGGGAACUGCGUCCGAUACUGGCAGUCUUGAAUACGGGAGAGGGAUGCGGAAUUCCAGGUGUAGAGGUGAAAUGCGUAGAUAUCUGGAGGAACACCGGUGGCGAAGGCGGCAUCCUGGACCGGCAUUGACGCUGAGGCGCGAAAGCCAGGGGAGCAAACGGG